rnacentral:rRNA from 1 species
GAUGAACGCUGGCUACAGGCUUAACACAUGCAAGUCGAGGGGAAACGCCGGGGAAGCUUGCUUCCCCGGGCGUCGACCGGCGCACGGGUGAGUAACGCGUAUCCAACCUGCCUCUGACUGAGGGAUAACCCGUCGAAAGUCGGCCUAAUACCUCAUGGUAUCGUCUGCGGGCAUCCAACCACGAUUAAAGAUUUCAUCGGUCAGGGAUGGGGAUGCGUCUGAUUAGCUUGUUGGCGGGGUAACGGCCCACCAAGGCUACGAUCAGUAGGGGUUCUGAGAGGAAGGUCCCCCACAUUGGAACUGAGACACGGUCCAAACUCCUACGGGAGGCAGCAGUGAGGAAUAUUGGUCAAUGGGCGAGAGCCUGAACCAGCCAAGUAGCGUGCAGGAAGACGGCCCUAUGGGUUGUAAACUGCUUUUAUGCGGGGAUAAAGUGAGGGACGUGUCCCUCAUUGCAGGUACCGCAUGAAUAAGGACCGGCUAAUUCCGUG